GGGUAUAUAGCUCAGUAGUACAGAGCAUGCUUAGCAUACGUGAGGUCCUGGGUUCAAUCCCCAGUACCUCCG
rnacentral:tRNA from 1 species